rnacentral:sRNA from 15 species
AUCGGACAACGGCAAACGAAUGGGGAGGCCAGCAUGUUCUUCGACAACGUGGUUAUCGCCGGUGUGGUAACGGUCGGGCUGAUGGUCGCCUUCUUUGCCGGUCUGGGCAUUUUCAUCUGGAAGGACUCGAACAAGCGCAAGCCGCGCUGACCUUCCGGGUACACGAGCACGCAAGGCAUUUAGGGCGACUUCGGUCGCCCAUUUUUUUU